GACGAACGCUGGCGGCGUGCCUAAUACAUGCAAGUAGAACGCACAGUUUAUACCGUAGCUUGCUACACCAUAGACUGUGAGUUGCGAACGGGUGAGUAACGCGUAGGUAACCUGCCUGGUAGCGGGGGAUAACUAUUGGAAACGAUAGCUAAUACCGCAUAAUAUUAAUUAUUGCAUGAUAAUUAAUUGAAGGGUGCAAUUGCACCACUACCAGAUGGACCUGCGUUGUAUUAGCUAGUAGGUGAGGUAACGGCUCACCUAGGCGACGAUACAUAGCCGACCUGAGAGGGUGAUCGGCCACACUGGGACUGAGACACGGCCCAGACUCCUACGGGAGGCAGCAGUAGGGAAUCUUCGGCAAUGGACGAAAGUCUGACCGAGCAACGCCGCGUGAGUGAAGAAGGUUUUCGGAUCGUAAAGCUCGGUUGUAAGAGAAGAACGGGUGUGAGAGUGGAAAGUUCACACUGUGACGGCAUCUUACCAGAAAGGGACGGCUAACUACGUG
rnacentral:rRNA from 1 species